CCCUUAGAUGUUCUGGGCCGCACGCGCGCUACACUGAUGCAUUCAACAAGCCUAGCCUUGACCGAGAGGUCCGGGUAAUCUUUGAAACUGCAUCGUGAUGGGGCUAGAUUAUUGCAAUUAUUAAUCUUCAACGAGGAAUGCCUAGUAAGCGUGAUUCAUCAAAUCGCGUUGAUUACGUCCCUGCCCUUUGUACACACCGCCCGUCGCUCCUACCGAUUGAAUGUGUUGGUGAGGAGCUCGGAUUGGCAGCAGUUGGUGGUUCGCCACCGGCUAUUGCUGAGAAGUCCUCCAAUCCGCCCCAUUUAGAGGAAGGAGAAGUCGUAACA
rnacentral:rRNA from 1 species